AUUAGAUAUAGAAGGUGAUGGUGGUGUCUGUGGCUGGAAGCUCCAAAGCAGACUUCCCUGUCCCUGCUCCUCUCUCUCUUCCCAAGGUGCUUCAUCAGGGUCCAGAGAAAAUCAGAUCAGAUGAAAUCCUAUUUUGAGUGUCUCGUGCCAGGUUUAAUUCCUUGCUCUGUGUCUCUCUCUGGAAGGAGUCAAGUGUCCUUGACUGUACCUGCCCCCUCUGGAGAGAUAAUUCUUUUGUUCCUCCACUUGUUCCUGUACCCUCUGUCUCUCCUUUAGUCUGGCCCAUUCCCUAAAUGACCCAAAAAUGCCCAUGCUCCCUCACAACAGAAAUAAUAACAGGAGGCAAAGAUUCCAGAUGAACGUUGUUCUUCUGAAAUCUUCAUUUACAGUUAGUUUGCAGCAGAAUUUUUUUAGGAAGAAUAAAUUUCCUGUAAUGGGAGUGAGUCAGCAUGGAUAUAUUGCAGGUAAAUCAUGUCAGACUAAUUUGAUCACUUAUGCUAAUGAAAUAACUAUCGGGCUGGAUGGUAUAAAUCUAUCUGGUUGCCCACAAGGCUUUAAGAAAAUUUUGCCUGAUGGAUUAUGGUCCAAACUCCCUCAGUGUAGGUUAAAAUAAUCUAUUAUUGAAAAGGGUAAAAUACUGGGAGGAAGACAGAGCCAUGGCUUGAAGCUAAGGGUGAGUGUCACUGAGGAGGUGACCAGGGAGCAGAUCCUCUGCUGGGGCUCUGUAGUAUUUUUAUUAAAGAUUUACACAGCACCGCAGCAUUUGGAUCAUUAAAUUUGCAGAUGAUACAGAGCUAAAGGGAUCAGGCAAGACUUACUGGCCUUUCUUUGCAGGGAAAUUACUUUUUGGCAGUAAAAUCUUGCUAAAUUAUGUAGGGAGACUCAAACCAUGAUCUUGACUGGACCCAGAUGCUCCGUGGCAGUUGCAGAACUGGAGGUGCAAAGUGGGGUCUUUGCAGUGGAGAGGGGGAGGUUUGUGCUGGAGGGUGUGGAGGGGGGGAGGAAUCACCAGCAAGAGGACACAGAGAGGGUUUUCCUUAAUUUUUUACAUUUUUUUAGAGUCCUUAAGACGCUCUCACCCUAAGCAUUUGCCCAGCAGUGUUGGAUAAGUGGGAGCAGCUUUCAGAGUGAUGUGCUGACUGUGCUGCUGCAGUGACAGUGGUACCUUCACAGCUCUUCCAGCCACCCUGGGAAACAACGUGCAGGCUUUGGAAGAUGUUCUAUAAGUAGCAGCUGAUUUGUCACAUGAGACUCUGAGCAGGGGAAGAGUGAAAAUAACAGGAGAGUGAUUUUUCCUCUAUUUUGGUCUCUGAUUUAAAUAAGCUCCUGAGGCAGAAUUAGUUUCUGGGAGAAGAGUGAAGCUUUUGAAUUGAGAUUUCUGCCAUGGGAGUGAACACCUGUAUUUCAGAGCCAGUGUAGGUGUUUAAACCUGGCCAGUCACACUCACAGCAGACCCAGAUACUCCCAAUUUCUUCAGCAUUGCGACACUGAAGUGCAAACCUUCAGACAGUGGUUAUCAUUAACAGAAGGGCAAAAAUAUUAAAAUGUAACCCAGAAAAUAAAUCUGUUCAAUAAAUCAAAGGUAGAAGCGAAGAUGAAAUCUGAAAUCCCUGUGUAGUGGGUAUAACUCAUUCCUACUGCCAGUUCAAAAUCAACCAUCACAGGGGAAUUUAAUGGUACCACUGUUUAGUGAAAUUAGACUUGACACUGGCCAGGGACCUGUUAUUGUGGUUGGGGAGGGUUUGCAAUUGUUUGACACUCAUUAGAAAUCCCAGUAACCUGUUUAAGGGCAGGCAAAUUCAGAUUCCCUCUCUCCUUCCACAGUUACUCAUCACACCACAGCCCUGUGCUAAUUGGAAAAUGACUGGGGGAGGAGCAGGUCUGGGCCAGGCUGUCCCUGGAGCAGGGAACGUGCUGGGGCCGGUCCCACACAGCGUCUGGUCCUACCCAACAGCCCAGGAAAAUCCUGCAGGAAAUGAACAACCACCAGGGCUUCCCAGAUCCAAAAUAAUUAUUCAUCUGUAACGAUCCCGGUAAUUCCUUUAUGGGAAUUCAACUCUGUUUCCUUCAGGGCCUCCAGCAGAACACACAGUUCCCUACCUGAAACUCAGUCCUGGCUUUGUGUUGAUUCAGAGCCUGCCAGUGAGUUCGAGAAGGUUUGCUGGUCCAAGCCACACUUCCAGGGAACGGACCUCUGAAAGCUCCCAGGCAACAGGGUGAUCAUGGAAUCCCAGAAUGUUUUGGGUUGGAGGGACCUAAAAGAUUGUCUUGUUCCACCCCCUUCCAUGGGCAGGGACACCUUCCACUAUCCCAGGUCGCUCCAAGCCCCAUCCAGCCUGGCCUUGGACACUUCCAAGGGAUGGGGAAGCCACAGCUUCUCUCGGCAACUGUGGGUAAGCUGUGAGCUCCAAGCCUACAACCUUCCACCUCCAGCUAGAGGGAAUCUUGUUUAGCUAAACCAGAAUGGAGUGGAAUGGGGGAAAAUUUAGCUAAUUGGGCUGUGCAAGCUGUCUGGGAAACACCAUGAGGUCCUGCAGGGAGACAGGCAGGUGCAGAGAGGCUUCCUAGAGCUCACACCUGCAUGAGGAAGCAGUGAGGUGUGACAGGAACAGAUCUGGGGAGUGAAAUGUUUGGUGCUGGUCCACUGUCUGUGUUCUGGGGGGAAUUCCUUGGGUUAGGUCUGGUCUGGCCCCAUGGCUUGGAGCAUUCAGUAGCAGCUGGGUGUGUUGUGUGGGUCUCUGGAGCUCAUCUUAUGGCUGAAAGGAAUCCAGUUCUGCAGCCUGGAUGUGAUUGCAGUAGAGGGAAGGUCAGGAGAGUCACCCCAAGGGGCUCCAGACUGAACCAAACACCGACACAGGCACAGAGGGGUCAGGGAGCUGGUCAGAGCAGCCUCUCAGUGCUGCAAACAGCAGGUGAAAGUUAAUCUGAGCAUGCACAGCCUGGUUUAUUGUUUUGAUAACACAUUCACUCUGAAAUGCUGUUGUUCCAGGGAAGCAAUACUGUGCAGUCAGGAAGUUGCUUGUUCCAUGAUUAGCAUCGCUGCAGCUCCCGAGGGAAGGGAUGGCACUGUCUGGGCAGACUUGGAACCUGCUGAGAGCACUUGCACCUGGUACUCCACCCAGGAUCCAGUCUGCAAGUGGAAAAGUUGCCACUGAUGACUUGGAAUUUAGGAGCCAAGAGCUGCUGUGCUGUGUGGGACCGCGUCGAGUGAGGGCGGUGAGGAGUGGAGUUCACCCAGCAGCUGUUUCACGAGUGCCCAGCUUGGCUUGGCGGGAAGGUGAACAGCACCUGAAGCCUCUUCUGGAGUGUCCAGCCUGACACAGAGACUGAGCCCUGACCGUGUACUGAGCCCCUCAUUCCCACAUCCCAGCCAGGCACUGUGCAUGGAGGUGCUGCUCUGGGCAGGGCACAGGAUGCACCUGAGUCACUUCAGACAUUUAUAAUCUGAUCUGUGAGAGCAGCACCGUCAGCAGCUUUUCCUCCCCCUCGUGCACUACCCAGAGACGUGUUCCCAUCCCUGGGCACUUUGGAAGUCCCAACAAGCCAUGAGUGGCCAAGACCUGCCGAAGCCUGUUGAUCCAGACACUGGAUUCCUAAAACCUUUGCUUUCCCCAACACCUUCAUAAAGUGUCCUGAAUUAAGGGAGCCUGAAGUGCUCUGAUGGACCUGUUCCACCCGGUGGGAGGCAGAGGAUCCAGUGGGAACACGUGCUGCAGCCUCGUGCACCUCACUUGGAUGGCUGAGAUGGAGCAGGGGCAGAGAGCCUGCGCGUCCCCACGAGGCACAAACCACUCAAGCACCAGCCUUUGAAGGUACCCCCUCUGAUGAAGGGCUUGUCAACAUAAGAAAUCCCAGAGGAAAAACGCCCACAAUGAGGAAUUCACAGAAAAUACACCAGAGCACCUGUACUGAGAGGGAGAGGUGGAGGAGCCUGUGUGCAUACCCUGCUUCCCCUGCUGUUACACCGAUUCUAAACACAGGUUUGGUUAUUCCUACUAUAUGUUUAUUUUUCCUCUCUGCUUUCUUCCUUUGAAGUACCUGCUUGUGUUCUCAAUGAAGAACAGCUGAGAGAUCAGGAAAAUGGCUUAAGCAUUCAGUGGGCUGGAAGCUGUUUGGAUUUCAAACAGUGCCUGGGAGAGCUCUGCACAGUGCCUUGCUGCACAACCCUCCUUCUGUCACCGGCCGAGGUUGCCGUCCUUUGUUCCCUCCCUGUAACUCUCCAGAGCCUUCAAGGGAGGGAAAAGAAGGAUGAAGGAGGUGACUUUAAUUUCUCUUUUUUAAAUCCCCCCAAGUCCUCCUUUAAAAAGCCAGAGCACAGCCCUCAUGGGCCAUCUGCCUUUAUUUCUCUUGUGCUCCUUGGCUUUGUUUGUUCCUCGUUUCCCCUCUGUGCCCCUUUGCAAACCUCGGAUCCUCGGGAGCCAUGAGCAGGACCCAAGUGCCACCCGAAGCUGCAGCUCCCCCUCUACAAUCUGCCAAGGAGGAACUGCCCACAGGACACUCCAGCACAGCUUCUGGAGUUUCUAAAGCCAUUUUUGUUCAGAAAUUCCUGUUGUUGUUGUUCCUGCUGACCUCAGCGGGCUGUAUCUUUUCCAAAUGUUUCUGACGUUUCUCACAGGGUAAUAAUCUAUUAAUGUCACAGACAAGGAUUCUGCUGACUUCAGUUUGGCUUCUGUUUCCCAUUGGAUGGGCUCCUCUCUUUAUGGGGGAAUGCCUCCAGCCAAAAAGAGAGGAAAAAAAACCCCAGCCCUGAGCUAAGUGAAACCAGGCCCGAAGGGAAGCGCGUUGCAGCCGCGUUGCCUCUCGCUGGCUUCUGUUCUGUGCUUGGGGAUGUGCCAGACUCCAGUGCCUCCAUGCUUUUGAUUCCUGUUUAUCCCCGGCAACAUGAUUGUCUAUAAUUAUAUAUAAUCUCCCCCUUGUUUACUCUUCUUCCUCCAGGUCUGAGCACAAGCUCGAUGGCAACUCUCAGCUCCGUCUGCCGGGGCUGCAGCUCCAACGCUCCUCACCAUCCUCCACCUUCUCCUCCAAAGUAACAAAGCCAUUGGAUUUCCUCCCACCCCUUCCCCGCGCUCCCCCUCCCCCUCGCUGGCACCGGGGUUAUUUAUACAGAAUGUGGAAACAAUUUGCAGGAAAGUGAACAAUGUAAGCGGGAGUGAGGGAAGGGAGACAAGUUUGUUGUGCACACUGAGAGCCCCAGCGGUGAAACGCUGCUUUUUGGGGGGCUGAGAGAACAGACUGUUUUCCUUUCUUCCUUCUCCUCUCUUUCACCAUCUCCCUCAGCUCUUUCCAUCUUGCCAGAGUCGGGUCCAAACCAGAGCAACCAGAUCCGAGUGCGUGUUUUGGAGGAGGUUCAGGUUGGAUCCCUCCCUGCAUCCCAGCCCCGUGAGGCGGUGUCUGUGUACUUAAUCCUCUCUGAGGUUCUGCUCUCCAUCGUUGCUGCUCCUGGAUUAGCAUUAAUGAGGAACAUGUGUGCUCAGAGGUCUCGCUCCAGGCCCCCAGAGCUGCAGCACUGGGUUUAGACACAGCUACUCCGAGGAACAGUUCAGCUGAAACAGAACCAUUCCUGGGAGUGAACGAGGCAGGAACUUUUUGCAAAGUCUAAUUUCAGUCUUUCUCCCCUCAUCCACUGAGUAUUACGUUUUCAGGACAUCCCAGCACCUCGCUGGCUCCGCUGUGAGUGUCUGGGAAUCAGGGAGUUUACCUGAGUUCUGCUGGGGCUGAGGAAGCUGAACCAGCACUGACUCGGCACUCAGGGCAGAUCUGGGAUCUUCAGCUGGCACUCUGCACCAUGAAGUCCUCAAAAAGAGGUAAUCCCAACCCACACACCAUUUGGGGAAGGGCCAUUGGUGUUGCAGAGCCAAGGGAAUGUUAUCCCGGGUUGUUGGGGCAGAGCAGCUGCCUUGGCCACAGUGGGUGCCUCAGCCACUCCUCCCCUCGCAGGAGAUGCAGCCUCCCUUCCCAACAGCCUCCAGACUUGGGAUGGGAUCUGUGCAGUUGUGCUGAGCUGGUAGGGCAGGGCCAGGGAGUUGCCAAGUGGGACAGCAGUUCCUCCCUAAACUGGGCACAUUCCUGGCUGAGAACUGGUGCAGCAGAUCCACUGUGAUCCGCUGGCAGAGGGACAGGUGGAAGGAACAUGUGGAGGGCUUUUCCUCCCUGAGAAUCCAUCCUCUCCACAUUCCAGUUCUUCCUGCUCCUCCUCAGUCAUUGUCCACACACAGAGGGUGAAGUUUCUGUGGGUGUUUGUUUGUGACGUGCCCCAUCUGCGCUCCCACAUGGAAUGGCAGGGAUCUCUGGCCAGGAUGGCCCUUCCAGAGCCCCUGGCACAGCAGAGACCAUUCCAAAUGCUGCUGCUGCUCCUUUAGCCAGUUCUUGGCUGGAAUAACAACUCCAGGUGUGAAAGGCAGAACGAGAGGGAGCAAACACACUUUGGCCACCGAUGUUUUGUGAUUGGGGCAGUUCAGCUCUUUGGGCUCUUUUGAUUUUCACUGACUCUGAGAAGGGCCCAGGAACAGCAACAACUUCUGUGUUCUUUCCCCAGCCAGACACCAACACCGCACUGGGAGGCUGCAGGUGGGAGCAGGCAGGACCGGGACGCAGCAGUGCAGGGCUGGGGCCCGACAGAGCCGUGGGGAUCCCGGUUCCCACUCCAGCCACACCAUGUCCGUGAUCCACAACCUGUCUGCUUCCCAUUGCCUGGCAGGAGCCUGGCAGUGUCUGCAGCCUGCCCAGACAUGUUGCACACUGUGCUUGGCUGUCUGGCAAAGAGCUGGGAUACGGAGAGUGCUUUGAAUCCAUCAGCUUCUGGAGAGAGAAGCCUCCCCAGUGCCUCUGGCAGCCCUUGCAGGCCCAGGCUGUGAGGACAGCACCUCUGGGUUGCAGGGCAAUCUCUGGGCACCCCACUGAAGGCCUCAGGGCAUGCAGACAUUCCCAAUCUCUUUCUGACUCCCAAGGGUCCUCCCUGACUCCUGGAAAAAUGUAGCCUUGAGUUAAACUGUGUGGAGAGCUCGCAUUAGCAGCACAGGUUUGGGCAAAGUGGAGGCUUGUAGCUCCUGUAGAGACCUUAAACUGCAGAGACCAGAGGGAUCAUGGUAAUUUCAGGGAAGCUUGGUAAUUUCAGGAAUGCUUGUGCUUUUUCCCUUCUGGUUCUAAAUGUUCAAAUUCUCGUGAAAAUAUGAGAAAAACUGUCCUUGGAAUGACUGUGCAGCUGAAAACAUGACUGGCUUUUUGGAAUUUCCUCUUUCAUCUGGUUCUUUUUUUUUUUAAUUAUUUUUAAGGUCUUUAGAUGAGAACAGAUUUGUAUUCCUCUCUUCCUGCUGCUCACUUACCACCUGAAAUCCUCGGCUGCUCCUUGCAGUUCCCACCACAACGGCGAUAUCCCGAGCGGAGCGUUGGAGCUCCAGGGAGACUCUGCAGACCCUGUGGAGUGCAGGAGUCACGGAGAACAGAGACCGAUGAAAGAUGGCUCCAGGCUGGGAUUUUGGAGAGUGUCUACAUGGUGUUGUUUUCUUUCACUGCUCCAUUUCUAAAGAUAACUGCUCUGUGUUUGGAGAAGCUGUUCUGUCUUUCCAACCCCUCGACAGCAUGGGCUGCUGAACAAGAACAUAGUGAAGGAAAGCAGCUGAUGAAAGAAAAGCUGUUCCUGUGGUAGGCUUCAGAAAAAUUGCUGCUUGUCUUCCCUCCCCCACAACGCUGAAUCCCAGCACCCCAGACUGUCGUGACUGCCGGGGAUUGGUGACAUCUCGAGUGACACGUGUUGGAGCAUCAGAACAGAGUGGGAGCAGCACAGCUUGGCUCUGGGAGCCAAAAAUAGGCAGUGCUUCCCAGAAUGUCCUGGCAGCCUGAGAAGUGGUGGACACCGCAAUGACACCCCAGAGGAGCAGCUGAGUGCUACUGAUUGCUGGUGAGUGGGUGGGAGGUCAACAGGAAAACACCAGACUCCCGUCUGAAAGGACAAACCCAACAGAUCCUGGAGCAGCCAUCAGCCUGAAGGAGGGGUUAGAGGCAGAUUGCAGUCAUUUGGGACUGGGAAAACAUGAGAUUUGUGAGAAACCUUUUCUCCCUCUGUCAAACCUCUCUUAUUUGUUGCCUGCCUCAAAGGGCUCGUGGCCGAAAAAUGCCACUGCUUUGCUUCAUAGAAUCUAAAUGUUCCAAUGGCACAGACAGAAACCUCAGUCUCUGCUCAGCCCUCACUGUAGGUGUUGGAACUCUGAAGGAGGGUCUUUUUGACAAAUUGAUUUCUGUUUAACACCUACACUUCUGUGCUUUCAGAAACGAAGGGCACUUCUGAUAACUUCUCAUAGCCUGAACUUCUUUCUCUACCAAUCCCCCAUUUUUAGCAAUGUAAAUUUGUUCUGAGCAUCUAAAUUCCCUCCAGUUUUUGGUAGUGAUCUUUUUUAGCUGUUUUCCUUUGGGGAUGUGAAGGCACCUUCCUUGUGCAAAAAAUGUCCAUUGCCUGUACAGCAUGAGAGGAUUUUCCUCUGGGAUUUCCCUGCCAGCACGUACCUUCCACUCUGGGAGGAGGAAAUGCCAUUUCAACCCUUGGUCCUUCUAAGAGCAUCCCUCAAAAAUGUGUGUUAUUGGAGGGGGGGCAGGUGGAGCAGCAGCCUGAGCAACAUGCACAGUGUGGUGGUCCCUGGUCACUGGGAGGUGGAUCAGCACUUUCACCUCUUUUUGGGGCAGAGAUGUUCCAACCCCACCAAUCCCUGUCGGUGUGAGCUCACAGCCUUUCCUUCCCUGCCCUUCCCUCUGCUCCAUUCGGGAUCUCUGAGAGCCUUUGUGUCUCACUUGGACACAGAGUCACAUUCUGAGCUCUUUGAAGCACAUUUCAUAUUUCUUCGAAUCAAUAAACUUCACAGGCAGUCGCAGAAAUCCCAGGCAGUCAAUAAGUCCCGUCAGGCUCCCUCAGGAGUGAAAGCAGAGCGUUGUAAGGACAUUUCUUAGGGAGCUGCUGUUCAGGCAUAUUUGUUGUUUCAAUUAGUCUGAUUUAGGGGCUCAGUCAGGGGCUGCAGCCUGUAGUACUCACACUGUAAUUUGAUUUCUAAAGCUGCCGUUCAGGUACUAAGGGAGUAAAACUGUGUGGUAAAACCCCAGUGUGACAGCAGCUGUGGAGAUCCCAAUAUGCCUGUCAGGGAGAUCCAGGGAGAUCCCAGGGUUCACCAUCACCUGCAUUUCACAUCCCACAUCCCAUCGGAGCCCUCCUGGCUUUGAUCACCGGUCCCCUGGGAGGAGCAUGAAAAGGUGGGAGAACUACGGUGUUUUUCCAGACCUGUUCCCCUGAAGGGAUGUUUAAACAAACAACAAGAAAAGAAAGUCAAAUGAAUGCGUGUGAGAAGUGCCAGAUUGGCAGCUUGAGCGAGUCAAACUUCACCUGUGUGAAGGCUGCCCAUGUUUUAUGUGCUGGAGCUGUCAGUGCAGCACCAUUCCUCGGCACAACACGUGUUCCUUGCUUUUCAAACUGUCCCUGUGUGCCCACGUUGCUCAGUCCUGCAGCUGAGAAGGAGUCAGACGGCACUGAUGGAGGUAAGGAGCUGGACUGCUGAGCACUAGGAAGGAAUGUUGGCUAAUUUGCCCUGGUUUUGGAGAUGCUUAAAAAUUGCAAGAGGUUAGAAACGAUUUAAAAACAAAAUAUAUGCAGAACGAGUCAAGGCAUAGCUCUGCUUUCAAACUAGAAACUGCCUGGAACAAAGCUCGUGUCUCUCCUUAGGAAAUGAGGGCUGUGUCCCUGUUGUUGCUCCCUGGGAAGAGGCCUCCAUGCUCUCUCUGACAGCUACAUCACCAAGGUCUCGUCUGGACUUUCUCAGCACUCCCAGGUGCUGCAGCACAACCUUUCCUGGCAGGAAGGGGCUUUGGGAGGCACAGACCCUGUGGUGAAAGACAAGUCCCCCACACUCCAGGGUCCUUCAGGAGCACCUUAUGAGCCUGGGAAGUGGAAGCCCUGUCUAAACAAGGUCUCGUUAUGAAAAGUUUAAUUUUACAACUGUUCGAGCUUGUCCCUCUUUCAGAUGGCAUGGUAAAAAUGAAGUAUGAUAUUUCUUCCAUGAAAAAUCCACUAUAUUUAUAGGAAAUUCCUUCCCUGCAUUUGAAGGGGUGAUGAGGUUUGGAGGAGAAUUCCAGUUAGAGGAAGCAGAGCCAAAACUCUGACUUUAAAGGGCUGUCUGAGAGUGCACGAACAAGAUCAUUCCAGGGACUCUGUUCCUGUCCCAAGCUAUUGUCCAAUGUCUUUAUUCUUUCCUGCUUCUGCAGCUCCUCCUCCCUGUUGUCACUACAUCAUAGCAAUGACUGGUUUUGAACUGUUCAAUUAGAGGACUAAGGUAAUUUUGUUCACAUUUGCUUUUCUGUCACAAGGUUCUAAUACUGCUCUGUGCCUCCAGUUCCUGCCAUUCAGAGCAUAGGGACACUUGAGCCACUCUUUUCAAACAGGGGCCCCUGGAAUUCAUUAUAUCUGUAUAUUCUGUUUUAAACACCCACAGUCGUGCUCUGAGAUACAGGCCAAGAGCAAAGGACACUUGUGGGAGUUGUAAGUGUUGACACAACAGUCAAAUCUAUUUGGUCUCAAGCUUUAUGCUUGGACCUGCUCAUCUAACUCUGGCUGAUCCAUUUGUGUCUCACAUGGGUAACGUGGCUUUUUCUUUCCAUUUCCAGGAGUCCCCAAAUGCAGGUGACCAGCCCCCUGACCAGCUGGUGGGUACCAGAGCUGGAGAGGGAUGACUCUGUUCCAUAGCCCCUGGGAAGGGUGCCUUGGCCUCCUGUCAGUGAGUGCAGGGUGUUUGGGCUGUGUGUGUGUGUGUGGGAAUGGGGAGCACCUGCCACGUGCCAAGAACGAGGGGAGCGAAGGAUUCCCACCAUAUGAUCCCACAGUGAACUUUUGAUCCAUCAGCUCAUCUGAUCCACCUGAUCCAUCAGCUGGGCCUUUCAGGUAACACACAGAAAAGGGCUGUGCUGCUCUUGGUCCUGAGGUUUGUCUGUAAGGUGUGCUGGGCUCUGCAUUUUCCAGGCAUCCUCUGCUGCUGGUCUAAGGUUGUUUCUUUUCUUUGGUUUUCCAAACCCAGAGGCAAAUGACUGUUUCUUUGUGCUAAGCAUCAAUUCUCUUCCUUUUUUUUAUCCUUUCUCCUCUCCAUGGUUUUCCUCUCCAUUUUGAAUUCUCUCAGACUGCUGCAGUCUCACUUCCCUGAGACUUCCCUCCUGGCACAGACACCAGGAGAAAAUGUGAUGGUGUUUACAGAGCACUGGGACUUGGGAGAUGUGAAAUGUGGACCUGGUGCUCUACCUCUGCUGACUCACAACACCUUUCUGUGGUUCUGCUUUCCUGUCAGGAUAACCUGGACUAAAACCUCUCUGGGGAAAGGAUUUGCUUUCCCUGUGUGAUCCUACGGUGUCUAAUACAACAGGACCCAACCUCAGGUAAGACCUUUAGGCACUCCCAUUAUAUGAAUGAGAACAAGAUUAUUGGUGUCAGUAAUUAACAUUCUUGUGGGAUUGUUGGAAAUGCUUUGGGAUAAACACCACCUGGAAUCCUCGCCUGGCUUAUGUGGUUUCUGAGCUGCAGAGGAGGCUGAUCCUGUUUGCACGAGAGGCCAUGGACCAUCUCUCUCCUCUCACUGGAUGUGCAAAGUCUUUCAGGCCAAAGAUGAGAUGCAGUAGCUCAGGGAGACAUUGGGACACUUGAAAAGUGAGGGCACAUUCUGUGGGGAGGAAGAAUGGAGACUCAGCGGUCAGUGUGUCCCCAGUAAUGAUCUCACCUGAGAACAACACUAAUGGCAACCACCAAACCAGAAAAAUACCACCCACAGUGUCACUGAAAACACUGUGAACGCCUGUGGCACAGUGUCACCCCAGGACAGGCUUCCAGAGAGGAAUCUCUCCCUGCUUACCUGGAUGGCAAAAAUCCCAUUGACUGCAAUGACAUCAGGAUUUCCCCUUGAGUGUUACCUGGGUUUCUCUCCUUCUGGAGAGAAGAGCCAUAUCCCACAUCAUUAUGCACAUCCUAAUAACAAAUAGAUAAUUCUUUUCCUUUAAACUGUGGAUUGGAUUCCAGUAAACCCUGCAUUUUGGAUUCUAGGUUCCCUCUAUCUAGCUCUGCAAUCCCUAAAUAAACAAACAUUGGAUUAGACCUCAGCAGCUCCCUCCCUCAGACACAGGAGGCUUUAAAAGCAUUUCACACCAACUGCCCUGCUCGUGUUUCAGACUCCGUUAACCGCGGAUUCAGGGAGCUCCAUCUCCCUCUCAAACUUCCCAGGGAGCUCACCUCAGUGAUUGGAAGGUCUGCCUCCACUUGUGACCCUCUCUGACUCCAGCGAGGAGCUGGAAUUGCUGUUGACAUCAGGAGUGACAGAGGUACGUGCUGGGGUCGGAGGGUUUCUGGCACAUGGCCUGCUAACCCAGAAUUUGCUUGGCAAAGUCCGGAGGGUGACUUUUAACCUCAGAGCAGUUUGCAAAAACCACACCUGUGACCAAUAAAUGUGAAAAAUAAAUGAAAAAAACUAAAUCCAGCCCCUAGUGAAUGAUGAAAGCCAGCACACCUCGCUGGGCUCUGGUGCUGGAGUCAGUGUGGAGAUCUAUACAGGAAUAAUUGAACAGGUCAUCGUUGCCAGGAGUUGUCCGUGGAUGGAGCUGAUGCCUCACACAUGGGGGAGGCAGCACAGCAGGUUAAACUGAAGGGAUCUCAUAGCUCUAAGUCUUAAACUUAAUGAAGCACAUCUUUAUUUGUGCUGCAGCCCCUUCUUCUCCCCAAAUUGCCUUAACUAGCUGCUAGAGGAUGCCCAGUAAUGGAAAAUUCUCUGGAUAACAAUAAAUUGGUGUAACGACUCAGUGUCACCUCACAUCCUGCUAAGCAACAGAGAAAUCACGGUGAGAAAAACAGGCACAGCCAGAGUGGCACUGAACAGUGGAAUCCUAAUUCCAUCACCCUUCUUGUGGGCCACAGAUAACCCAGUGCAAUUUACAGCCGCUCUGAAGCGGCUCCAAGUCUCAGCAGGAGUCGGGAAGGCUCAGUGUAGCCUCGGGACUGAGGAGUCACGGAAGAUCAGGGGAGUUGUUGUUCCAUAACCUUGCCUCUCCACCAAAACUGGUGGGCUGGUCUGGAAUGGGAAGCACUCCAAGCAAAACACAACGUUUUAAUCACUGAAAUGAAGGUCCUCCUCUGGAUCCCUCUCUGGAGAACUGUGUGUCUCUGAUGAUCACGCACAGACUGCCAAAGAAGGUAAAUUCUGGAUUUAAAUCUGUACAUCACCAGUGUGUGAGUGACACCAGUAAAUCUGGGCUGUAAGGCUGAGAUAUCUCCAAGAAGAGAGAAACACUUUUUCCACUUAAAUGACUGAGGUAGAAGAAGUAAAUAUAUUGUCUCCUACUACUGAAGGGUGAGGAAAUCAUUUAUACACAUCUGUUACACCUUUGCAGCCUAACAGUGGUGGUUUUUUCAAUCCAAGAGUCCAAAAGUUUAGAAUUACCAACAUUAAGGUGGCCUGUGCGACUGUAAUUUGUCCCUUUUGUGCAUUUGCAUCAUGAUCCAGUAUUUAAUUGUGAUUAGAUCACACGCUGUUCUUUCAACAGGUUCCCGGCCUCGCUCGUUCUACAGAAUAGACUCUGCUCACCAAGCAAUAACUUUAUUUUCUCCUCGCUGUUCACUGUGUGGCCUGUGCUUUAUUUACAGCACACUAUUCAAAUAUUGUUCUGAAGACAGAUUUAUUCAUUUCCUCCUGAGCUUUUUCACGGGACUCAUCACUAUGGUAUCCAAGUGCUUCACAAACUCUAAUUCACUUUCCCAACGCUGGAGUGAGAACUGGUGUUGCCCUUAUUUUACAGACGAGGAACUCGGGCGCACAGACAGAAUAAUACAAAAAUCUCUUUUCAUUUUAGAGAUCUAAUUAGAAAUACUCGAUGGCCUGAUUUUGUCAGAAAAUAGAACAUGGUGAAGCAUCCAAUUGAGUCAGAACUUGAAUACAUUCUCAGCUAUUGCAGAUUUAUCUGCAAGUGCUCUUCACUUCUGCAGAUCACGCUUUAAAAUGUCAGCCCAGGCACCUGGGCAGUGCUGACUGCACAACUAGUACAGUUCUGGGCAGGCUCUCUUUAAGGACUGAGGCCCUUUUCUGGAGCAGCAGCCACCCCUUCCCACCCACAGUGCUGUGCUUGCUCACUCCACAGUUCCUCUCAGGGUGCAUAACAUACCUACAUCUGAUUUUUACAGCAAAUUAAGUGGAAGUUGUUGAGGCACUUGCCUGGGUUCCCUGGCCUUGGUUUGGUAUCUGAGCCAGGCUUAUCCUUCUGCACUGGCUGUCUUUAUCCCGGUGUUUGAUAACUGGGGAGUGUGUUCCUUUGCAGCCUGACUACUGUUGUUUUAAUAAAUAUGUAUUUCUUUUCAAUCUAGAGAUACCCUUAGAAAGCCCAGCAAUUUAAUCCUGUGCUGACAGGGAUGCAGGCCAUCAGCAAUGUGGAAGCACUCCCUGUAUGAGGGAUGUAGUGGUUGGCACACUCUCCAGCACUCAGAGGGGACGAGGAACGUUCUCAGUGUGUGUCAGCCACCUGCUGCCAACAGUUUUCCAGUUGGUCUUCAUUCCCAUUCCUAAAUUCUUACCUUUCUGCUCUGCCUCCCUCCCUCAGUCUCUGUCACUCCCAUUCCUACAUCACUGCCCCUAGUGAAUUCCCUCUUCCCACUGUCUUUGCUGCAUCCCACACCCAAACUAGGGGUCCUCCUCCCUCAUCCCACUGCAGCUCUCCCAUCCAAUCCCUGUGCCCAGCAAGUUCUUCCUCAGGCACUGUAUGGACAGCCCUGGGUGCCCUAAGCUGCGUGUUCCUCCUCCUGGAAAUUCUCUCCCAUUCCCACUCUGUUUUUAAUUCUUCUCCCAACAGCCUGGCUUCCAGACUCUUCCUUAUGAGCUUUGCUUUAUCCCUCCCUCCAGGCAGACCUGUUUUUCCUUCCAGCUCCUUGUUCCCUUCCCCUGCCCUGGAGAACCUGUCUCUCUCCAGACCCUCCGUGCCUGCCAACUUACCUGUCCCAAAUCCAGUUCCCAUCCCCACUGUGUGUUACUGAAGGAGCUUCCUGCUCCAUGUUUCCCCAGAGGACUGGAAGGACAAGUUCCCUGCUCGCCCUUCCUACCUGCAGCCUUGGCAUGGUCCAGAGCAGCAGGGAACUGGAAGUGCAGGUCCAGCUCUGACUCCCACAGCCCUGGGCUGAGAUGAGGAUGGAACUGCAGGGCAACGGAAGCACUGGGAAGCCUCCACAGAGCACCAGUGGGAUUUUCAGGGGGGUUUUCUCUGUGGUGCUUGAAGGAACACCUCUGACAAGGUGACUGUUCUCGUCUACAAAUUUGACAAUCCCUGACAGAAAGAACAAAAGGGGAAAAGUUUAUAAUUUAACCUGAGGUACGAACAUCAGAUGCUUAAAUUUCAGCACAGCGGUUGCUCUGGCCCUAUUAAAUGCGACUGAGGGUAGGAUUUUAUGAUGGGAAUUCCUAACCAGCUUAAUAGAAGUUACACUACCAGUCCUGCCUUUUAAUCACUGCUUCCAUUUUCAGGAUAAAUUGCAGCUGGUUGCUGGUAAUCCUUGUGGCAUAUCAGAUAGCAGCGUAACUCGGCAAGGGGAAGGUGGAGAAACCCAAACAUCCUUCUGAGGAGGUAAUUAUUCCAUUGUGAAAAUGCUCCGGGAUAUUUUUAGUGGCCAAACCCCCUGUUUCCUGACAGAAACAUAAAAUAAUGAAGCAAGUUUCACAAGGAGAAACACUUCAGACACCUGUACUAGCUGGUGCUUUGCAGUCAGGUCAGUGUUUAAUUUGCCAUGUGCAUCCCCGUGUCCCUGUGCACGGCCAGCCCCACACCUGGCUUUGGGGCACUGUGGGCUGGGCCAGCGCCGCCUCGCAGAAAACCCUCUCCACCAACAAAUCUGCAAAUCCCGCUGGAUCAGGGGGAAUUUCACGGGAAUAUAGAGCUGCCUGCAACAAGAGGGACACCCUCGCCGCACGCACCGAGGUUAUCGAGGGAAACUUUCCUUAGCGGGAGUCAUACACCCGGUGUAAAAGCCUGGAUUUUUUGGGGAACAAAUGAUAUAAAACUAGUUUUAGAACAUUUUGCAACACAUUUUUGUGGGGAUGUACCCUCGUUUCAUGUCCCGCAGUGCCCCAGGGCUCCGGUUAUCUCCGGGUUACCUCGAGCACUGGUCCUACAUAAUUUAUGUCCUGAAAGAGACGAUUCAAUUAGUCAAUAAUAAAAUGAGCAAGGACAGCGUGUGCGUUGUAAAAAUAUAAUUUAGUGGGCAACAAGCUGAGAUGGAAAAAUAUAAGGGUACACUCCAUAUGAUUAAUGAAGGAGGAAUGUAUAUUUAUAGCUCUUAUUGUGUCCUUUGUAAGCAGAAGGAUCCGACAGUAGGACUGGAACCGGCUGGUAACGAUGUGGCAUUCCAAUGAUUGGGAUUUGAAUGGCAAAUGCUGUAUAAAACUAAUUACCCCCAGGAGGAUGAAAAUACAUUUCAUUUGCCUUUUCGGA